rnacentral:rRNA from 1 species
GCGCUGCCUAUACUGCAAGUCGAACGAACUCUGGUAUUGAUUGGUGCUUGCAUCAUGAUUUACAUUUGAGUGAGUGGCGAACUGGUGAGUAACACGUGGGAAACCUGCCCAGAAGCGGGGGAUAACACCUGGAAACAGAUGCUAAUACCGCAUAACAACUUGGACCGCAUGGUCCGAGUUUGAAAGAUGGCUUCGGCUAUCACUUUUGGAUGGUCCCGCGGCGUAUUAGCUAGAUGGUGAGGUAACGGCUCACCAUGGCAAUGAUACGUAGCCGACCUGAGAGGGUAAUCGGCCACAUUGGGACUGAGACACGGCCCAAACUCCUACGGGAGGCAGCAGUAGGGAAUCUUCCACAAUGGACGAAAGUCUGAUGGAGCAACGCCGCGUGAGUGAAGAAGGGUUUCGGCUCGUAAAACUCUGUUGUUAAAGAAGAACAUAUCUGAGAGUAACUGUUCAGGUAUUGACGGUAUUUAACCAGAAAGCCACGGCUAACUACGUGCCAGCAGCCGCGGUAAUACGUAGGUGGCAAGCGUUGUCCGGAUUUAUUGGGCGUAAAGCGAGCGCAGGCGGUUUUUUAAGUCUGAUGUGAAAGCCUUCGGCUCAACCGAAGAAGUGCAUCGGAAACUGGGAAACUUGAGUGCAGAAGAGGACAGUGGAACUCCAUGUGUAGCGGUGAAAUGCGUAGAUAUAUGGAAGAACACCAGUGGCGAAGGCGGCUGUCUGGUCUGUAACUGACGCUGAGGCUCGAAAGUAUGGGUAGCAAACAGGAUUAGAUACCCUGGUAGUCCAUACCGUAAACGAUGAAUGCUAAGUGUUGGAGGGUUUCCGCCCUUCAGUGCUGCAGCUAACGCAUUAAGCAUUCCGCCUGGGGAGUACGGCCGCAAGGCUGAAACUCAAAGGAAUUGACGGGGGCCCGCACAAGCGGUGGAGCAUGUGGUUUAAUUCGAAGCUACGCGAAGAACCUUACCAGGUCUUGACAUACUAUGCAAAUCUAAGAGAUUAGACGUUCCCUUCGGGGACAUGGAUACAGGUGGUGCAUGGUUGUCGUCAGCUCGUGUCGUGAGAUGUUGGGUUAAGUCCCGCAACGAGCGCAACCCUUAUUAUCAGUUGCCAGCAUUAAGUUGGGCACUCUGGUGAGACUGCCGGUGACAAACCGGAGGAAGGUGGGGAUGACGUCAAAUCAUCAUGCCCCUUAUGACCUGGGCUACACACGUGCUACAAUGGAUGGUACAACGAGUUGCGAACUCGCGAGAGUAAGCUAAUCUCUUAAAGCCAUUCUCAGUUCGGAUUGUAGGCUGCAACUCGCCUACAUGAAGUCGGAAUCGCUAGUAAUCGCGGAUUCAGCAGCCU